UUAAUUCAAAACUCAUUGGGAAAAGUAGAAAAACCCACCGAAAUUCGUAGGAAUUACCGAUACACUUUGGUUUAGUAAUUUACUCCCAUUCAGUAUAAAUGAAUAUUUGAUGUGUUACAAUCAUUAGAUGUGAACAAGCCAUCAUAAUGAGGACUACAGUACUUCUUUUGCUUCUGCUUAGUGUUGUAAUUGCACAACGUCCGGGAUAUCUAGGCGGACUUCCCGCAGGUUAUCCAGCCCUAGCUAGUCGAUUUAAAGAAGAAAAUUCCUCACCGGAUCCAACUUCGUCUGCACCAAUAUCCCCUACACCAGCACCAGUAUCGAAUCCACCAGCGCCUCCCUCUGAUGUAAAAUUCUAUUAUAAACCAACAAACGUUCAUUAUCCUCAUUGGUAUCCUACAAAAUACCAUUACAAGGACGUAGAAUAUAAUGAUCAAUUUAUUUUCGAUUAACCUAUCUUUGUGUGUGUGUGUAUUAAUUAAAGAGUAAGUAAACGGC